rnacentral:rRNA from 1 species
UACGUAGGGUGCGAGCGUUGUCCGGAAUUAUUGGGCGUAAAGAGCUCGUAGGCGGUGUGUCGCGUCGGCCGUGAAAACCUGCAGCUCAACUGCAGGCUUGCGGUCGAUACGGGCAGGCUAGAGUUCGGUAGGGGAGACUGGAAUUCCUGGUGUAGCGGUGAAAUGCGCAGAUAUCAGGAGGAACACCGGUGGCGAAGGCGGGUCUCUGGGCCGAUACUGACGCUGAGGAGCGAAAGCGUGGGGAGCGAACAGG